rnacentral:rRNA from 1 species
UGGGGAAUUUUGGACAAUGGGGGAAACCCUGAUCCAGCCAUCCCGCGUGUGCGAUGAAGGCCUUCGGGUUGUAAAGCACUUUUGGCAGGAAAGAAACGUCGCGGGUUAAUACCCCGCGAAACUGACGGUACCUGCAGAAUAAGCACCGGCUAACUACGUGCCAGCAGCCGCGGUAAUACGUAGGGUGCAAGCGUUAAUCGGAAUUACUGGGCGUAAAGCGUGCGCAGGCGGUUCGGAAAGAAAGAUGUGAAAUCCCAGAGCUUAACUUUGGAACUGCAUUUUUAACUACCGGGCUAGAGUGUGUCAGAGGGAGGUGGAAUUCCGCGUGUAGCAGUGAAAUGCGUAGAUAUGCGGAGGAACACCGAUGGCGAAGGCAGCCUCCUGGGAUAACACUGACGCUCAUGCACGAAAAGCGUGGGGAGCAAACAGGAUUAGAUACCCUGGUAGUCCACGCCCUAAAACGAUGUCAACUAGCUGUUGGGGCCUUCGGGCCUUGGUAGCGCAGCUAACGCGUGAAGUUGACCGCCU